AUGUAUGAAAACAAUAUGUGCUAAUUCGAUAGAUAUGUAGGCCCUCAAUCUUGAUCCUAGUUUCCAGUUUAUCUUUACUCUUGACUCAAUAUAGCAUCAUUUUACUGUUUUGCAUACAGUUAUUCAUGUGAAUUUCCAGGUUUGUGUGAUUUCUAGGGACGAGGCCAAGUUGUGGUUCUUAUAGGCCACUCAUCGUAGUUCUGUUUUUCUAACAAGCACACUUGUGAGAAACAUGCCCUAACAGGUUUGUAUGGGUCUUCUCUUCUUAGACCCACCCCUAUUUUUCAAUUUAAUAUAAUGAUAUGUAGCUCUCCUUCAUGUUGGGGGGGGGGGAUAUUUUAUGUUAUACUUCCAUGACAAGCAGAGAAAGGUGUAACGCCAGCAGCAUGUUUCAUUCUCAUAAUUUAUUUUACAAGGGAAAAUGAAAUCAAUAAAGCACAAUUCAGAAGGGGAAAACCUAACUGGUCCAAUUGAACUACUUGCGCAUACAAUGAAAAUCUCAUGGUCUACGUUUCUUCACUAACAGCAUCACCGAUCAUUUGACAACAUACAGACCCUCCAAUAUAAAACUAACUUAUAAAUGCACAAUUAAGCCCAUCUCAGGCAAGUGGAAGAAAAGAUAAAUAAUUUGAGAUGAAAUGGUACUGCCAAGAACCUAGGUAGCCAACCAAUACAAUACAUCACAACCAAAAUACCAAAUAGUUUAAAUUGAGUAUCAAGUGAAGGACCACAACAUGCAAACGUUAGAGCGCAUGCCAACACAGAAUUAGGAUAUAGAUUGCCUGUCAACAUUGUUUAGUCACACAAGAGAUUGUGUGAUCAGUUUCAACAAAAGAUGAAGAGAUUUUGGCAACAGCUAAGUACAAAUUGUUUGAGGUCAUUUCUAACGAUUGGACAUAGCCUGGAAAAGGUAUAAAGAAAUUACAGUAGUUACAACAAA
rnacentral:lncRNA from 7 species